UGGCAAAACAUUGUAUGGAAGACUAGUGAUUUUGUUGUUUGGCUUAUGAUACUAACAAUAAAUCUCUCGUCUUUCUACAAAGUUUGCCC
rfam:Anopheles melas strain CM1001059_A cont2.9217, whole genome shotgun sequence.